rnacentral:rRNA from 1 species
UACGUAGGGGGCUAGCGUUGUCCGGAAUCAUUGGGCGUAAAGCGCGUGUAGGCGGUCCGGUAAGUCCGCUGUGAAAGUCGGGGGGCUCAACCCUCGAAAUGCCGAUGGAUACUGUCGGGCUAGAGUGCGGAAGAGGCGAGUGGAAUUCCUGGUGUAGCGGUGAAAUGCGCAGAUAUCAGGAGGAACACCAAUUGCGAAGGCAGCUCG